AAUUUUAAUGGCACCUUGAAGAUUUCGUAGGAAUUUUGUGAGAUGCGGAUGUGAAGACAAUUAAAACUCCUUUACAUUUGCCAUUUGGAUUCCAAGGUGCAGUGAAACGUAAUAUAUAGCCACUCCUGCAUAAUUGUCAACCUUGCCGACUAGUGCUGGAACCUGUUUUAGGCACUUGGAGGAAAUGUUCCUUGGAGGAAAUGUUUAGGAACACCACACAGCUGAUGGCAGUUCCGGAGACCCUUUUAUUUUUGGGUAGUACUGUUGGGACCAACCUACACAAUCUGUGAAAAUUUCAAUGUAAUCGGUUCAGCCGUUUUUGAGUAUAUACGGAACAAAUAAACAAACCGACAAGAAAUUCCAAAA